UUUUAUUUUAUAACAGGUCGGGGUUUCUUGACUCAUCAAGUUUAUUAGUAUUGUCAUAUACGUGUGAAAUGCAGGAAAGGGUAGUAAAUUGUAUGAUGGAAGAAUUUCAGCUCUGAUAUGUGUUUUAAAUUUUUUUGGAUUGUCCAGCCUGAUUUUACGUCCGGAUUUUGUCCUUUCAGUUCCAGGAAGUGAAUAGUCACUGCUGCACUUGUUCAUUUCCAGGAAGUGAUUAUACAGCUGUUACAUACACACAAUUAUGAGUAUGUAUCAGCUAUGUUUAAUUUCCUCCCUGUUACUGGUGCGAUCAGUAUUGCUGAGACAUGAUUAUUGUGAUUCUCAUUGAAAUUUCUACGAGUACAAUGUAUUCUCAUUUUUAACUUCACGGAUGUUAUGGAGAAUCUGAUGAACUUGGGGACCAACUUAUUAAUGUGAUGUGGGAAAGUACUCUUCGUCUUCUGCUUGAAAUUUAUUGUGUGCUCAUAUUUAACUUCAUGCACGUCAGGGAGAAUUUGAUAAACUUGUUUACCAAGUAAAGUUUUCUGUUCGGAGUAGAAUGAGGCUCAAGAUUUGGCAUAAUGAGUUGUUGCUGAUAUUGCAAAUGUGGAUCUGCAACAUUGUUGCUCAGCUUUUCUAGAUUUAUUAGGCUUGGCUUGGUUGAUUUGCUCAAGAAUUUGCUAUGCUUAUGGAGUAGCAGAGAAAGGGGUGCAGGUUGAAUUGUAGCAGCGAACGAGGGCUGGCCUUAUGAUCUUCCAGGUAAAGAUUUCAUGGAAAAGGGCCAAAUAUAUCCCUUAACUAUUGGAACAUGGAAAAGGGCCAAAUAUAUCCUUUAACUAUUGGAAAAUGGCCAAAUGUAUUCCUUGUUGUACUUUGGGUUCAAGUAUAUUCCUCCCGUCGUACUUUGGCAUAAAUAUACUCAUUUCAACAGAGGGACACAUGUCCGUCAUACUUUGGCAUAAAUAUACUCAUUUCAACAGAGGACACAUGUCAUUAUCCUAUUACUUUAUUUUUUACUAUCCCUAAUUUAUUAAAAUCCAACUCAUAACCCGAUCUCC
rnacentral:lncRNA from 1 species